CCCGACUAGUCUUACUGAGUUUACGCUCUAUAACCCUUUGUGAACUUUAUAAACCUGUUGCUUCGGCGGCGCGCCUCCGGGCGUGCCCGCCGGUGUUCAGAAUCUCUUGUUUCUCUAUGAGUUACCUCUGAGUGUUCCAAAGCGAACUGUUAAAACUUUCAACAACGGAUCUCUUGGCUCUAGCAUCGAUGAAGAACGCAGCGAAACGCGAUAAGUAAUGUGAAUUGCAGAAUUCAGUGAAUCAUCGAAUCUUUGAACGCACAUGGCGCCUCCUAGUAUCCUGGGAGGCAUGCCUGUCCGAGCGUCGUUUCAACCCUCGGUGCCCCUGUACUGGCGGCCCGGUGUUGGGGUUCCACGCCUGGCGUGGUCCCUGAAAAUCAGCGGCGGACCCAGCGGCCCUUCCCUUGCGUAGUAACUUACGCCUCGCAUCGGGAGCCCCUGGGUUUCUUCCAGCCGUCAAAACCCCCCACAAGCCCGCCCCCGCGCGGCACUUGGUUGACCUCGGAUCAGGUAGGAAUACCCGCUGAACUUAAGCAUAUCAAAAGCCGGAGGAAA
rnacentral:rRNA from 1 species